rnacentral:rRNA from 1 species
AUGGGGGGCGGGCCGCGGACGUUCCCUGGGGGGCUGUCCAAGUGGCAGCACAAGCGGAUGCACGAGAAGCUGGCGCGGGGGAAGGAGCGGGGCCUGCUCCGCCAUGAGAAGCAGCUCUACCUCGCCCGCCUCCGCUCCGAGAUCCGCGCCUCCCACCUCCCCGGCGCCCCCGCCUCCCCCGCCGACCAUGCCGGCCCCACCUCCUCGCGCGCCCACAUCCGCGCCCUCGCCGACCGCUUCCUCCGCCCCGGCGCCGAGGACCUCUGGAACGACGACGACGGCCCGCUACGCCGUGCGCGGCUCCCCCCGCAUCAGCAGCAGCCAGCGAGGAGCCUGCCGUCUGGCGCCCGGAUGGUCGACUGGAAGCAGGUGGAGUCCGGGGAGAAGCUGAAGCCGCCCCGGGGAGGAGGGGACUGGAAGGACUGGGAGGAGCUGGAUUCUGGGGAGCCGACGGCGGGAAGGGGAGCCGGAAAUGAGCAGCGAUUGCCUGCCGCGUUCAACCAGAGGAGAGGGUACGGGACGGCCGCUCCCUGGUGGUGGCAAUGGAGCCCGGGCUCCGGCACGCCUUCGCAGAGGAAGGAGGCGUCCUUCGGCUUCUUCGGUCCGAAGAGAUGCUACUCGGUGAUGCCUCCAUGCUCGCCGUGCCGGGAAUCGGGUGCUGCGCUGAUGCCGUUGGUUGCUAGACAGCUCGCCGAGGCUGGAGAUGGCAGGAAUGCGACACCGUUGGCUCUGUUUUAUACUCAGGAGAGGUUGUACUCUGUAGCAGCCCCACGGCGGUUUGGCCAGAAAUGGAGGCCGGAUUCAUCGGACGAGGAUGGGGAGGUUAUGCCGGCUGCUAGGGAUCUGAGGUUGGCAAAAUUCGUGGCUUCGAGGGAAGAUGAGUCGGAAGAUGAUGAACCGGGGGAGACGAGCGCCAUCAGGAGGAAAUGGAGCACUGCUGCUCUGAGGAACUGUGAUAUGAAGAGAGAUAGGAGACCGCUCAAGUCCUACGAGGAGGAAAGCGAUGAUGAUAUCACUGGUAGAAUCCAAGAGCUGCGAGAGGAGAUAAGAAACAGGGAGGUGCUGGGUGCUGAGAGGAGGCGGUACGAGUCAAGGGGUGAAUCUGUGUUUACCAAUAAAAGAUUCGAUGAGUGUGGCAUCUCCCCACUUACUGUCAAAGCACUCACUGAUGCUGGAUAUAUACAGACAACUGUUGUCCAGGAAGCAACUCUUCCAGUUUGUCUCGAAGGUAAAGAUGUUCUUGUCAAGGCCAAAACUGGAACCGGCAAAAGUGUAGCUUUUCUGCUUCCUGCAAUUGAAUCAGUCUUGAAUGCCAUGAAGAGCCAUACAAAUCAUCGAGUGUCUCCAAUAUUUGCCCUUGUUCUAUGCCCUACAAGAGAGCUUGCCGUCCAGGUUACAGCUGAGGCGAAUGUUUUGGUGAAGUACCAUCAUGGAGUGGGUGUUCAGUCUCUUAUUGGUGGCACUAGAUUCAAGCUUGAUCAAAGACGGUUAGAGUCCGAUCCAUGCCAGAUUUUAGUGGCAACACCUGGUAGGCUGCUGGAUCAUAUUGAAAACAGAUCUUCAUUCUCUGUCCGCUUGAUGGGAUUGAAAUUGCUUGUGUUGGAUGAAGCUGACCACUUGCUAGAUUUGGGUUUUCGCAAAGACAUAGAGAAGAUUGCUGAUAGCUUGCCACGCCAAAGACAGACACUACUAUUUUCAGCUACUGUUCCAAAAGAGGUUCGAAGGGUUUCACAGAUGGUUUUAAACAAGGAUCAUGUUUUUGUUGAUACAGUGGGCUUGGGGGCUGUUGAAACUCCUACUAAGGUACAACAGCAAUAUCUUGUGGUACCACAUGAACUGCACUUUCAUAUGGUUCACCACCUUCUUCGAGAGCAUAUUGAUCAGGAAGUGGACUAUAAGGUGAUAGUUUUCUGCACAACUGCCAUGGUGACUGAAUUUAUGUAUAUAAUGCUUCGAGUUCUGAAGCUAAACGUCAGAGAGAUACAUUCAAGAAAGCCCCAGCUUUAUAGAACACGUAUUUCUGAAGAGUUCCGGGAUUCCAAUCGCCUGAUUCUGGUAACAUCAGAUGUUUCAACACGUGGAGUGAAUUAUCCAGACGUUACCCUAGUGAUUCAGGCUGGUGUUCCUCCUGGUAGAGAGCAUUAUAUUCAUCGUCUUGGAAGGACUGGAAGGGAAGGUAAAUCCGGGAAAGGAAUUCUGUUGAUUGCGCCAUGGGAAGAGUAUUUCUUGAAGGAGAUACAUGAUCUUCCAAUACAGAAGGCUCCUGUGCCACAGAUUGACCAGGAGAUGAAACAAAAGGUUGAUGAUUCGAUCAAGAUUGUUGACAUGAGCAUCAAGGAAGCCGCAUACCAUGCAUGGCUUGGUUACUAUAACUCGAUAGCUGAUAUUAGCAGAGACAAAGUCAUGCUUGCUGACCUGGCUAGUAGGUUCGGCGUCUCUAUCGGCAUGGAAAAGCCUCCGUCGUUGUUUAGGAAAACCGCCUUGAAGAUGGGGUUAAAGGGUGUACCAGGAAUUCGGAUAAGAAAAUGA